rnacentral:lncRNA from 1 species
AUGCACGUUUCAGGGACACGUGUGCCCUGCCCCCAGCACGACCUGCCUUACCUUCCCAGCGCCAAUCACCUUCUCGGCCGCAUAGACGGCCUGGCUGCACCGCGGGCAGCGCUCGGAGCCCCCGAUCUUCUGGGCGAACUUGGACGUGUUGGGGUUGGUGGUGGGCCUGUGGCCAGGGGCCCUGCUCAGGGAAAAGCAUGCGGUGAGGGGACGUACAGGGAGCAACACAGUGGAGGGGACAGGCCUGGAGGGCGCCAGCCGCCGGCACCUGGCCCAGCCCUCCCAGGACCGCGGCCACGGAAGCAGAGCCCCGCUUCCAGGCCGGCAGAGUAUCCGGGUCAGUCUGCCUCGGCAUCACCUCCACAAGUUGAGGCCCCGCUUCCACCAGAGCCCCGCGGGCCUCCAGGAGCUACCGCGACAGGACCCCCAGGCCAAGUCCCCCCAGCUGGGAGGGGCUGCACACCCGUCCACGCCCAGGAACAGGGGCGGGGCCCAGGCCUCCAGGGAGGGGCGGAGCCCACCCCAGCUCCGGUCUAGCCCCGGGUCUCGAUAAGAUCACUAACGGCGGAACUGGACCAGCGUUUGCAGCACACUCGGCGGCUGUGAGCGCGGAGGACGCGCCUGCCUGCAGGCUGCUUGUUGGGAACGGGUUGCAACUUGCUUCAAGUGUGCUCACAGCGCCCCCUCCUGCCCCCGGCCUUCGGGACUGAGGCUGCAAACACUGCGGCUUCCUCCAGGCUUGGGUGGUGGUCCCCGCGCCGCGCCAAGUCCCGGGGCGUCAGGGGUGAAGGCGGCGAGGCGACCUCCAUCUAGCCCCUCGCAAAAGGGGAAACGCGCACCCGCGCUCCGGGCACAGCUGUGCCAGGCGGGCCCCCACCCGCCCGCCGCACGUUCCCCCCGGGGAGGAGGGGUGGCACGGAUGCCCUCAUCCCCCGCCGCACAAGGAGCGUCAGUGCGCGCAGAAUCGCCCAUUGUCCCGCCGCGGGACCCGCCGGGGGAGGGACCCGCCUGCG